rnacentral:rRNA from 1 species
ACUCCUACGGGAGGCAGCAGUAGGGAAUAUUGGUCAAUGGGUGAGAGCCUGAACCAGCCAUGCCGCGUGCAGGAAGACGGCCUUCUGGGUUGUAAACUGCUUUUACCAGGGGAUAAAACGACUCUGCGGAGUUAAUUGAAGGUACCUGGAGAAUAAGCACCGGCUAACUACGUGCCAGCAGCCGCGGUAAUACGUAGGGUGCAAGCGUUGUCCGGAUUUAUUGGGUUUAAAGGUGCGUAGGCGGGCUAUUAAGUCAGUGGUGAAAUCCAGCAGCUUAACUGUUGAUGUGCCAUUGAUACUGGUAGUCUUGAGUACAGAUGAGGUAGGCGGAAUUGACAGUGUAGCGGUGAAAUGCAUAGAUAUUGUCAAGAACUCCGAUAGCGAAGGCAGCUUACUGGGCUGUAACUGACGCUGAUGCACGAAAGUGUGGGGAUCAAACAGGAUUAGAUACCCUGGUAGACAUCA